rnacentral:pre_miRNA from 1 species
CAUGCACCAGUGGGGUCCCUCAGCCUAGCCUGCGCCCUCUCGCAAUCUGGGACCCCUCAGGGGAUGUCGGAGAGCUAAUUUCAGCCCGAUCCCGCAGGCCAGGCUGAGGGACCCCACUGGUGCACG